rnacentral:lncRNA from 1 species
CGACGAUAGCCCAGUUUUAAGUUUAGGGGCAGCAACAUUGUGCAUUUGAGCUUCUCAGGAUAAGUCACCAAUGGCAGCUGGGUUAGCUUUAUCCAUAGCCGUAACUCCAAAAUUGAGGUUAAUUUCCCACCAAAAUCAAUCUUCUGCACAAAAGGAUAAAUAUCAAGUAACUGGUAGCUGGAUGAAAACAGCUAUCUUCAGCUACCUAGAAGAUGAACUACAUUAAAGAAGCUGCUUGUGGUAUCUUUGGUUCUUCUUCAUGGUGGGUAUGCCAAUCAACAUUGCUGACAUUCUUCCAUCUGCAGCAUUCUCAUGAUAUUUUCUUGAAGUUGAAACUGUUUUCAAUUUGCUUUUACAAAGAU